GGGCGAUUAGCUCAUUUGGUUAGAGUGCCACGUUCACAUCGUGGAAGUAGCAGGUUCGAGUCCUGCAUCGCCCACCA
rnacentral:tRNA from 1 species